rnacentral:rRNA from 1 species
GAGAAGCAAAGCCGCGAGGUAGAGCAAAUCUCAAAAAAACAUCUCAGUUCAGACUGCAGGCUGCAACUCGCCUGCACGAAGUCGGAAUUGCUAGUAAUCGUAGGUCAGCAUACUACGGUGAAUACGUUCCCGGGCCUUGUACACACCGCCCGUCAAACCAUGAGAGUUGGCAACACCCGAAGUCGGUAGUCUAACCGCAAGGAGGACGCCGCCGAAGGUGGGGUUGAUGAUUAGGGUUAAGUCGUAACAAGGUAUC